rnacentral:rRNA from 1 species
GACGAACCGUGCGACCGUUGUUCGGAAUCACUGGGCGUAAAGGGCGCGUAGGCGGCCAUUCAAGUCGGGGGUGAAAGCCUGUGGCUCAACCACAGAAUUGCCUUCGAUACUGUUUGGCUUGAGUAUGGUAGAGGUUGGUGGAACUGCGAGUGUAGAGGUGAAAUUCGUAGAUAUUCGCAAGAACACCAGUGGCGAAGGCGGCCAACUGGACCAUUACUGACGCUGAGGCACGAAAGCGUGGGUAGCAAACAGG